rnacentral:rRNA from 1 species
UGCGUAGGUGGUGAGGUAAGUCGGAUGUGAAAUCUCGGAGCUCAACUCCGAAAUGGCAUUGGAAACUACCUUGCUCGAGGGUUGGAAGGGGGACUGGAAUGCUUGGUGUAGCAGUGAAAUGCGUAGAUAUCAAGCGGAACACCAGUGGCGAAGGCGAGUCCCUGGACAAUUCCUGACACUGAGGCACGAAAGCUAGGGGAGCAAACA